UACGUAGGUGGCGAGCGUUAUCCGGAUUUACUGGGCGUAAAGAGCGCGCAGGCGGUCGUGCAAGUCGGAUGUGAAAUCCCCCGGCUCAACUGGGGAGGGUCAUUCGAUACUGCUCGACUUGAAGGCGGGAGAGGGAAGCGGAAUUCCCGGUGUAGUGGUGAAAUGCGUAGAUAUCGGGAGGAACACCAGUGGCGAAGGCGGCUUCCUGGCCCGUUCUUGACGCUGAGGCGCGAAAGCUAGGGGAGCAAACGGG
rnacentral:rRNA from 1 species